rnacentral:rRNA from 1 species
AUUGAACGCUAGCAGGAUGCUUUACACAUGCAAGUCGAACGGCAGCGCGGACUUCUGUCUGGCGGCGAGUGGCGAACGGGUGAGUAAUGUAUCGGAACGUGCCCAGUAGCGGGGGAGAACUACGCCAAAGCGUAGCUAAUACCGCAUACGCCCUACGGGGGAAACCUGGGGAUCGUAGGACCGUGCACUAUUGGAGCGGCGGAUGUCGGACUAGCUAGUUGGUGAGGUAACGGCUCACUAAGGGGACGAUCCGCAGAUGGUGUGAGUGGACGGCCGGCCACCUUGGGGCUGAGACAGGGACCAGACUCCUGAGGGAGGCAGCAGAGGGGUAUGUGGGGCAAUGGGGGGAAACCUGAUCCAACCAGCCGGAGUGUGAGAUGGCGGCCUUCGGGGUGGAAAGCACGUUUGGCAGGAAAGAAACGCCGCGGGCUAAUACCCCGUGGAACUGACGGUACCUGCAGAAUAAGCACCGGCUAACUACGUG